GACGAACGCUGGCGGCGUGCCUAAUACAUGCAAGUAGAACGCACAGUUUAUACCGUAGCUUGCUACACCAUAAACUGUGAGUUGCGAACGGGUGAGUAACGCGUAGGUAACCUGCCUGGUAGCGGGGGAUAACUAUUGGAAACGAUAGCUAAUACCGCAUAAUAUUGAUUAUUGCAUGAUAAUUGAUUGAAAGAUGCUAUUGCAUCACUACCAGAUGGACCUGCGUUGUAUUAGCUAGUAGGUGAGGUAACGGCUCACCUAGGCGACGAUACAUAGCCGACCUGAGAGGGUGAUCGGCCACACUGGGACUGAGACACGGCCCAGACCCCUACGGGAGGCAGCAGUAGGGAAUCUUCGGCAAUGGACGAAAGUCUGACCGAGCAACGCCGCGUGAGUGAAGAAGGGUUUCGGAUCGUAAAGCUCUGUUGUAAGAGAAGAACGGGUGUGAGAGUGGAAAGUUCACACUGUGACGGUAUCUUACCAGAAAGGGACGGCUAACUACGUG
rnacentral:rRNA from 1 species